rnacentral:rRNA from 1 species
GACGAACGCUGGCGGCGUGCUUAACACAUGCAAGUCGAACGGAAAGGCCCUGCUUUUGUGGGUUGCUCGAGUGGCGAACGGGUGAGUAACACGUGAGUAUCCUGCCCUUGACUUUGGGAUAACUUCAGGAAACUGGGGCUAAUACCGGAUAUGAGCUCCUGCUGCAUGGUGUUGGUUGGAAAGUUUCGGCGGUUGUGUAUGUACUCGCGGCUUAUCAGCUUGUUGGUGGGGUAGUUGCUUACCAAGGCUUUGACGGGUAGCCGGCCUGAGAGGGUGACCGGCCACAUUGGGACUGAGAGACGGCCCAGACUCGUACGGGAGGCAGAAGGGGGGAAUAUUGCACAAUGGGCGGAAGCCUGAUGCAGAAACGCCGCGUGCGGGAUGACGGCCUUCGGGGUGUAAACCGAUUUGGCCUGUGACGAAGAGAGAGUGACGGUAAUGGGUAAAGAAGCACCGGCUAACUACGUG